GCGCAUGUGGUGGAAUUGGAAGACACCCUGGUUUCAAAAGCCAGUACCGCAAGGUUUGAGGGUUCGAGUCCCUCCAUGCGCACCA
rnacentral:tRNA from 1 species